rnacentral:rRNA from 1 species
AGAACCCCGGCGAGGGGAGUGAAAAAGAACCUGAAACCGUGUACGUACAAGCAGUGGGAGCACAGAGCAAUCUGUGUGACUGCGUACCUUUUGUAUAAUGGGUCAGCGACUUAUAUUCUGUAGCAAGGUUAACCGAAUAGGGGAGCCGAAGGGAAACCGAGUCUUAACUGGGCGUUAAGUUGCAGGGUAUAGACCCGAAACCCGGUGAUCUAGCCAUGGGCAGGUUGAAGGUUGGGUAACACUAACUGGAGGACCGAACCGACUAAUGUUGAAAAAUUAGCGGAUGACUUGUGGCUGGGGGUGAAAGGCCAAUCAAACCGGGAGAUAGCUGGUUCUCCCCGAAAGCUAUUUAGGUAGCGCCUCGUGAAUUCAUCUCCGGGGGUAGAGCACUGUUUCGGCAAGGGGGUCAUCCCGACUUACCAACCCGAUGCAAACUGCGAAUACCGGAGAAUGUUAUCACGGGAGACACACGGCGGGUGCUAACGUCCGUCGUGAAGAGGGAAACAACCCAGACCGCCAGCUAAGGUCCCAAAGUCAUGGUUAAGUGGGAAACGAUGUGGGAAGGCCCAGACAGCCAGGAUGUUGGCUUAGAAGCAGCCAUCAUUUAAAGAAAGCGUAAUAGCUCACUGGUCGAGUCGGCCUGCGCGGAAGAUGUAACGGGGCUAAACCAUGCACCGAAGCUGCGGCAGCGACACUGUGUGUUGUUGGGUAGGGGAGCGUUCUGUAAGCCUGUGAAGGUGUGCUGUGAGGCAUGCUGGAGGUAUCAGAAGUGCGAAUGCUGACAUAAGUAACGAUAAAGCGGGUGAAAAGCCCGCUCGCCGGAAGACCAAGGGUUCCUGUCCAACGUUAAUCGGGGCAGGGUGAGUCGACCCCUAAGGCGAGGCCGAAAGGCGUAGUCGAUGGGAAACAGGUUAAUAUUCCUGUACUUGGUGUUACUGCGAAGGGGGGACGGAGAAGGCUAUGUUGGCCGGGCGACGGUUGUCCCGGUUUAAGCGUGUAGGCUGGUUUUCCAGGCAAAUCCGGAAAAUCAAGGCUGAGGCGUGAUGACGAGGCACUACGGUGCUGAAGCAACAAAUGCCCUGCUUCCAGGAAAAGCCUCUAAGCAUCAGGUAACAUCAAAUCGUACCCCAAACCGACACAGGUGGUCAGGUAGAGAAUACCAAGGCGCUUGAGAGAACUCGGGUGAAGGAACUAGGCAAAAUGGUGCCGUAACUUCGGGAGAAGGCACGCUGAUAUGUAGGUGAAGUCCCUCGCGGAUGGAGCUGAAAUCAGUCGAAGAUACCAGCUGGCUGCAACUGUUUAUUAAAAACACAGCACUGUGCAAACACGAAAGUGGACGUAUACGGUGUGACGCCUGCCCGGUGCCGGAAGGUUAAUUGAUGGGGUCAGCGCAAGCGAAGCUCUUGAUCGAAGCCCCGGUAAACGGCGGCCGUAACUAUAACGGUCCUAAGGUAGCGAAAUUCCUUGUCGGGUAAGUUCCGACCUGCACGAAUGGCGUAAUGAUGGCCAGGCUGUCUCCACCCGAGACUCAGUGAAAUUGAACUCGCUGUGAAGAUGCAGUGUACCCGCGGCAAGACGGAAAGACCCCGUGAACCUUUACUAUAGCUUGACACUGAACAUUGAGCCUUGAUGUGUAGGAUAGGUGGGAGGCUUUGAAGUGUGGACGCCAGUCUGCAUGGAGCCGACCUUGAAAUACCACCCUUUAAUGUUUGAUGUUCUAAC